UCGGGUGUAGUGUAUGGAACACACUCCUUCAUCAUGGGCUUCGUCUUCCUUUGAUUGAGAGAAACCUAGGUUCGAUUCCUGGCACCCGAU